rnacentral:rRNA from 1 species
GAUCAUGGCUCAGGAUGAACGCUAGCUACAGGCUUAACACAUGCAAGUCGAGGGGCAGCAUGAACUUAGCUUGCUAAGUUUGAUGGCGACCGGCGCACGGGUGAGUAACACGUAUCCAACCUGCCGAUGACUCGGGGAUAGCCUUUCGAAAGAAAGAUUAAUACCCGAUGGCAUAGUUCUUCCGCAUGGUAGAACUAUUAAAGGAUUUCGGUCACCGAUGGGGAUGCGUUCCAUUUAGG